rnacentral:rRNA from 1 species
GUUAGCGUUGUUUGUUAAUUUGUGAACUGCAACGCCUCCAAUUUCCACGCCCUGAACACAGCGACCAUGAUCUUGAUCCCGAAACACAAGGGCGCAACGCAGCUCACUGACUUCAGGCCUGUUAGCCUGAUCCACAGCGUCGCCAAAUUGAUGGCAAGGAGGCUGCAACAUAUCAUGAAUGAUUUGAUCUCCCCCUGCCAAAGCGCAUUCACAAAAAAAAAGAUCCAUCCUCAACAACUUUAUGCAUGUCCAGGCCAUGAUCAAAACCCUGAAAUCAAAGCGAGAAAGACGCCGGCCAUCCUCCUGAAGAUGGGUCGAUAUUGCCAAGGCAUUUGA